AACUCUGCAUAAACAGCACAUGCAGCGUUGUUUACCGGCUGGAACUGGUGGGGUAAAUUAGCGCCAGCUGAUGAUGAUGAGACCUUUGCCCAAGGAACUUUAUGACCCCUCGUUGAAUCCAUUUAUUGUUGCUGCUCCUACUUUGGAGCAUGACUUCCCUAGCAAGAGUUUCUUCAUCCUGUCCCUGUGCUAGAAACAGACAACAGCUUGAAGCCAGCAGCUGCUCCGGAACAAAACAGGAACCUUGGUCUUGUCACAGCACAGCAGCUCCAUUUGGAAAGAAAAAGAAUCCCAGGAAGGUGUCUUCCUGCACGCCCAAGAGGACGCUGCGAAGCCUGAGGGACCUAGCUUUGGAUGGCCCAGACUCACGGGGAGAACAACUGGACUGCACUUCCCCUUGAGGCAAACAGCAAGAUCGAAUUGUAGAAGAGUACAUAGAGGGGAGAGGGGUCACAACCAUUUGGGGAAAAUAAAAUCUACAGAGGGAUAACAAUAAUUAUAUCCAGCUUGCAGAGUUUGGGGAGGUUUAUAAACCUAGGAAUACUAGACAAAUAUAUACAGUGUAUCUAGAGCACUCAAGAAACAUUGGCUAAUAUAUCUUAUCCUCCAAAACCUGCAAUAUUCUGCACUGUGCCCUGAUCUUAUUUUUUUCUGCGAUUUGUGUGACCAUUAUUUUUAAUAUUUUGAAAUUAGCAUCUUCGUUGGAUACCUCCUGCUAUACACCAGGGAAUCAAAACAUUUGCUGGUUUUUCAGGUCUGGGUGAAUAUGUCAUUAUCUGCUCUGUUCACAGUCUUCAUAGUUUACAGGCUGUGGAAAUUUCUUCUCUUAAAAGGUGACUUAGUCCUUCUGUGCCCCUCCUCAGUACCACCGCCCCUAGCUGGGAAAACUGCUAAUUACGCGUGGGUCCUUCACCCUAUCAUAGAAGUUCCAAAAAAGCUAAGUGAAAAAAGAUGGUCAUAGUUUCAAAACUCAAAACAUCUCUCAAGCCAAAGCAUAGUGUUUUGUUUUGUUUUGUUUUGUUCUUGGUACUGGGGAUCGAACUCGGAACCUUGUGCUAGUGAGGCAGGCAGCGGAACAACUUAGCUGAAUCCCUAGCCAAAGC
rnacentral:lncRNA from 1 species